GACGAAGGAUUCAAGCGUUGUCCGGAUUUACUGGGUUUAAAGGGUGCGUAGGCGGUAAUAUAAGUCAGUGGUGAAAUCCCGCAGCUCAACUGCGGAACUGCCAUUGAAACUGCAUUUCUUGAAUACGGUUGAGGUAGAUGGAAUGUAACAUGUAGCGGUGAAAUGCUUAGAUAUGUUACAGAACUCCGAUUGCGAAGGCAGUCUACUAAGCCGUUAUUGACGCUGAGGCACGAAAGCGUGGGGAGCAAACAGG
rnacentral:rRNA from 1 species